AUACGGAGGGGGUUAGCGUUGUUCGGAAUUACUGGGCGUAAAGCGCACGUAGGCGGACCAGUCAGUCAGUGGUGAAAUCCCAUCGCUCAACGAUGGAACUGCCAUUGAUACUGCUGGUCUUGAGUCUAGUUGACGUAGGCGGAAUAUGACAUGUAGCGGUGAAAUGCAUAGAUAUGUCAUAGAACACCAAUUGCGAAGGCAGCUUACGAAACUACGACUGACGCUCAUGGACGAAAGCGUGGGUAGCGAACAGGAUUAGAUACCCUGGUAGUCCACGCCGUAAACGAUGUCUACUAGCCGUUGGGGUCCUUGAGACUUUAGUGGCGCAGCUAACGCACUAAGUAGACCGCCUGGGGAGUACGGUCGCAAGAUUAAAACUCAAAUGAAUUGACGGGGCCCGCACAAGCGGUGGAGCAUGUGGUUUAAUUCGAAGCAACGCGAAGGAACCUUACCUACUCUUGACAUCCAGAGAAUUUAGCAGAGAUGCUUUAGUG
rnacentral:rRNA from 1 species